UGACAGCCUUCAUAAAAGAGUGAGCCAGUCU
rnacentral:piRNA from 1 species